GAUGAACGCUGGCGGCGUGCUUAACACAUGCAAGUUGAACGAAGUGGCGGAUGGGCGAGUAACACGUGAGGAACCUGCCUUUCACAGGGGAAUAACACUGGGAAACCAGUGCUAAUACCGCAUAGUGAAAGCUGGCCUCGCGCCUGAUUAGCUAGUCGGUGAGGUAACGGCUCACCUAGGCGACGAUCUCUAGCUGGUCUGAAGGAGGAUCAGCCACACUGGGACUGAGAAACGGCCCAGACGACUACGGGAGGCAGCAGUGGGGAAUAUGGCACAAUGGCGCAAGCCGGAUGCAGCCAUGCCGCGUGUAUGAAGAAGGCCUUAGGGUUGUAAACCUCUUUCCAUCGAACAGGGUAGGUGGAGAAGAAGCGCCGGCUAACUACGUGCCAGCAGCCGCGGUAAUUC
rnacentral:rRNA from 1 species